GCCCAGCUUGCUGGGUGGAUCAGUGGCGAACGGGUGAGUAACACGUGAGUAACCUGCCCCUGACUCUGGGAUAAGCCUUGGAAACGAGGUCUAAUACCGGAUACGUGACGCUCAGGCAUCUGAUGCGUCUGGAAAGAUUUAUCGGUCAGGGAUGGACUCGCGGCCUAUCAGCUUGUUGGUGGGGUAACGGCCCACCAAGGCGACGACGGGUAGCCGGCCUGAGAGGGCGACCGGCCACACUGGGACUGAGACACGGCCCAGACUCCUACGGGAGGCAGCAGUGGGGAAUAUUGCACAAUGGGCGCAAGCCUGAUGCAGCGACGCCGCGUGAGGGAUGAAGGCCUUCGGGUUGUAAACCUCUUUCAUCAGGGAAGAAGCGCAAGUGACGGUACCUGCAGAAGAAGCGCCGGCUAACUACGUGCCAGCAGCCGCGGUAAUACGUAGGGCGCAAGCGUUGUCCGGAAUUAUUGGGCGUAAAGAGCUCGUAGGCGGUUUGUCGCGUCUGCUGUGAAAACUCGAGGCUCAACCUCGGGCUUGCAGUGGGUACGGGCAGACUAGAGUGCGGUAGGGGAGACUGGAAUUCCUGGUGUAGCGGUGGAAUGCGCAGAUACAUGAGGAACACCGAUGGCGAAGGCAGGUCUCUGGGCCGCAACUGACGCUGAGGAGCGAAACAUGGGGAGCGAA
rnacentral:rRNA from 1 species